GAAUUCGCCCUUAGAGUUUGAUCCUGGCUCAGGACGAACGCUGGCGGCGCGCCUAACACAUGCAAGUCGAACGAGCGAGAGAGAGCUUGCUUUCUCGAGCGAGUGGCGAACGGGUGAGUAACGCGUGAGGAACCUGCCUCAAAGAGGGGGACAACAGUUGGAAACGACUGCUAAUACCGCAUAAGCCCACAGGUCGGCAUCGACCAGAGGGAAAAGGAGCAAUCCGCUUUGAGAUGGCCUCGCGUCCGAUUAGCUAGUUGGUGAGGUAACGGCCCACCAAGGCAACGAUCGGUAGCCGGACUGAGAGGUUGAACGGCCACAUUGGGACUGAGACACGGCCCAGACUCCUACGGGAGGCAGCAGUGGGGAAUAUUGCACAAUGGGGGAAACCCUGAUGCAGCGACGCCGCGUGGAGGAAGAAGGUCUUCGGAUUGUAAACUCCUGUUGUUGAGGAAGAUAAUGACGGUACUCAACAAGGAAGUGACGGCUAACUACGUGCCAGCAGCCGCGGUAAAACGUAGGUCACAAGCGUUGUCCGGAAUUACUGGGUGUAAAGGGAGCGCAGGCGGGAAGACAAGUUGGAAGUGAAAUCUAUGGGCUCAACCCAUAAACUGCUUUCAAAACUGUUUUUCUUGAGUAGUGCAGAGGUAGGCGGAAUUCCCGGUGUAGCGGUGGAAUGCGUAGAUAUCGGGAGGAACACCAGUGGCGAAGGCGGCCUACUGGGCACCAACUGACGCUGAGGCUCGAAAGUGUGGGUAGCAAACAGGAUUAGAUACCCUGGUAGUCCACACCGUAAACGAUGAUUACUA
rnacentral:rRNA from 1 species